rnacentral:lncRNA from 1 species
GGGAUUCUCUUUCGGACGUGCCAGGGAGGACACCUUUGCCUUGCUCUACAAAGACAUCCACGCCCAUGCCUGGGAGAUGGCGAAAUGAAAACUAGUGGGUUAUAAGCAGGCGGCGCCAGAAGAGCCAUCAGCCGCCUCUUGCCUGCCCCGGAGGGGCCGGGGCAGAUUUUCGGUCCCAGCGCGGGUCUGCAGCGGGGCUGCCGCGGUCACGAAGUUCUUGGCCCGGGUGUUUGUGCCUUAGCUGGCUUACAGUUUUAUUUUUAGCUUCAGGAAUUCAGCACUUGACGUUAUUUGGGUUUUUAUGGAGAAAAACUGGGAGACAAGAAGCUGGGCUCCUCAGUCCCAGGCCAGGCCCCAGACGGCUGAGCUCCCAGAGCAGCAGCCCCAGCGGGAAAAGAGAGAGGCGUCCUCCAGGGUGGAAGGCCCAGUGGCGUGGCGAGGACGUGGUGUUCUAUCAGGGGAGAAAUCCUGCCCCUGCUGCGAUCCAAGCUCAUAAUGAGAUCGAGGUCACAGUCCAUCGCGUUCGUGGCAGGAGCACAGCAUUCUUCUGGCCUGGGCAACCAGCACAGGGGAGGGUCUCGGCUCAGGACAAGGCCAUUGGCCGCCCGGGCCCACCAAUCAGAACUGAGGAAUGUGAGGCAUCUCAGCUUUAUGAGCCCGCGGCUGGGAAGGAUGUGGUCUGGGAGCCGCCCGUGGGGCUUCAGCACCCUGGAGAUUGCUGAGAAACAGCCUCCGAGGACUUUGAUCCUCCUUAGGGCACACAUCUCCUCCCAUUUCACAGAUGAGAAAGUUAAGGUUUAGAGAGGGGAAGUCACAUGCCUGAGAUCACGCAGGUAAAAAAAUAGCAGCCGGGGGUUGGCUGGAAGUCUUAGCUCAGACGGACGGGCAGACAGCCCUGGAGAAGGAUGAGGUCAGUACAGCCAGACCCGAGGCACGCAGAGGAAGCCGCGGGUUCGCGUACUGCUUCUGCCCUGUACGAGCCGCCUUCCCUUCUUCACUUGUGGGAGAUGCUGACGACAAAGGUGAGGUCAUCUGGGACCUGCAGUGUCCUCAGAUUGUCAGAGGCUUCUGGAAAGGAACCAGCAGGAACCUUCCUCCAGGCUCCCUCUCUAUCUCACAACAAGCUGAAGAGGUCAAGAAGCCCGGCUGCCCCCAUAGAUGGAACCUGGGACAAGCCCAGAGCGCAGGCCUGGAGCCCCUUGGAGGAGAAGCUCUUGGAGACUCCGGUAAUGCCAAUCAUCUGUACACUUGUGUUUCCCCCAGGAGAAUGUAAGCUCCUCUGGGCAGGGGCAGGCUAGUUCUGUCUUCCAGAGCCCAGCACAGGGCCUGGCCCAGAGAAUGGGCUUAAGGGGGAUUCCUGAAUUAAACAGACUAAGCAGAAACUCCCAGGGGCCUCAUUCAAAAGCAGACAGAUAACCAGGCUGACCUUUCUGAACCUUCUGCUUUGGUUUGCCAAGUAAUCUAGAUGGGUAGGAAGAGUUCAGGUGGGCACAAAACCAGGAGUCAUGGGAGUUGGGGUGGGGGUGGGGGGACACAUAGCAGAGAGGAGGCUGGAGGCUGUGUGCCAGGGACAGAGAACUGACCACGAAAGCUCUGGCUGCCUCUGGAAGUUCCUACUACUCAUCAGGGGAGGCUGGAGUGCCCUUGCUGGGGGCACUGGCGAGGGUCAGGGUGGGAGCAGCUGCCUCAGGGGUCCCUCCCUCAGAGGAGAGUCCGUGCCUCUUCUCUCCUUGUAGUCCUGACAGGGCAGCAUCCUUGGGGGUCCUGGGCCUCUGGGCAGAGCAGAGCGGCCUUGAGUGACUCAGGCCUGGGAUCAGACCUUACGUGACCGCCUAAGGGGCAGCUCCUGGGUCAUUGAGCCAGUGCUCAGGAGGCAAACCUUCAGCCCCUCCUCCCCAGAAUAGCUUCCAGAGGGCCCUGCCACUCACAGGCUUCUAACUAACUCUCUUGUCAGGGAGCUCAGCAGGCCCCAAUUGUCUCCAAGUCUCCCCAGGGAAGACCAAGACAGGGAUGAAGGGAGAAACGAUUCAGAGGAAAGGGAAAGAAGCACUUUCUCCAGCUCCUGGAGACCCCAGGCAGUGCCACUGACAGUUGGGGUAUGGGGGUAGCAGAAGGGAGGUCACUCACUGUGUCUACAUGGAGGUGGCCAGUGGAGUCCAGCGGGAGGUGUCCAUCUGGAAUGGCCAAUGGAGGCUGAUGGGAAGUGACCGUGGAGUCCUGCAGGAGGUGUCUAGUGGAGUC